rnacentral:rRNA from 1 species
GACGAACGCUGGCGGCGUGCUUAACACAUGCAAGUCGAACGGUAAGGCCCUUCGGGGUACACGAGUGGCGAACGGGUGAGUAACACGUGGGUGAUCUGCCCUGCACUUCGGGAUAAGCCUGGGAAACUGGGUCUAAUACCGGAUAGGACUCCGGACUGCAUGGUCUGGGGUGGAAAGCUUUUGCGGUGUGGGAUGGGCCCGCGGCCUAUCAGCUUGUUGGUGGGGUGAUGGCCUACCAAGGCGACGACGGGUAGCCGGCCUGAGAGGGUGACCGGCCGCACUGGGACUGAGAUACGGCCAGACUCCUACGGGAGGCAGCAGUGGGGAAUAUUGCACAAUGGGCGCAAGCCUGAUGCAGCGACGCCGCGUGAGGGAUGACGGCCUUCGGGUUGUAAACCUCUUUCAGCAUCGACGAAGCGAAAGUGACGGUAGGUGCAGAAGAAGGACCGGCCAACUACGUGCCAGCCGCCGCGGUAA